UACGUAGGGGGCAAGCGUUGUCCGGAUUUACUGGGCGUAAAGAGCGUGUAGGCGGCCAAGCAGGUCCGUUGUGAAAACUGGAGGCUUAACCUCCAGACGUCGACGGAAACCGCGUGGCUAGAGUCCGGAAGAGGAGAGUGGAAUUCCUGGUGUAGCGGUGAAAUGCGCAGAUAUCAGGAAGAACACCAAUGGCGAAGGCAGCUCUCUGGGACGGUACUGACGCUGAGGCGCGAAAGCUAGGGGAGCGAACGGG
rnacentral:rRNA from 1 species